rnacentral:misc_RNA from 1 species
UCGAAUUUUAAAGGAUGUGCUGGCUGCCCUCACAGGUUUGCAUGUGCACUCCACAAAAUCUCCAUCCUCUACCCCAUUGUGCACAACCAGUAAGCAAAACAGGUUCACAGAGCAAUCUGUGCACAUUGUCUGCCUACACUUUUUAUACCAAACCCCAAUAAUAUGUCAGAAUGAUGUAUUGCAGUAAGCUUUCACAAGCUGAAAUCUAAUA